UAAAAAUUUAAACGUAAAUUAUUUUUUAAUUUAUAUAAAAGGUAGUGAGAUUCGGAGCUUUGGGUUUGCUCAAAAAUCAGCCUCACGUUUCUUUGGUCUCUGGAAAUAAUGGCAGCCACUCUCUCCGUCCGGCCCAACCGCAUAACUGGCGGUUAUCCAUACAACCGGCCACCGGUAAGACGAACCGGACCGGCUUACCUUCGAAAGUUACUGACCAACAAAUUCGAGCUUUGGAGCGGCUCAAUCGAGUCGACCCGUGGGGGUGCAUUAGCCAGAACGUCUACGCUAGUCCGAGCCGGCUCCAGAGCCGAUGACUCUGCGCCGUUCGAGAUGUCGGUAGAGAACGCGUUGAAACUCCUUGGAGUCUCCGAUGGCGAUUCGUUCGAUGAUAUACUUCGCGCCAAGAACUCGAUCGUAGCCUCUUGUAAGGAUGACAAGGACGCAAUUGCACAGGUGGAAGCUGCAUAUGACAUGUUGCUCAUGAGGAGCUUAACUCAGAGGCGAGCGGGAAAGGUUGUAAGUAGUAACAUUCGCUAUGCUGAUGUUAAGCCUGUAAGUGCUUCAGGAAUGGGAUCAAUGCCUCAAUGGCUGCAGACUUCUGUGAAGAAAUCGCCUGUUUCGGUAGAGACUCCAUCAAGGAGUGAGUUAGGGCUAAAGGCAGGUGUUUAUGGAGCUUUAAUGGUCUUAACUUAUGUUAAUGGAGCCACCACAUCCUCUGGCAUGCCAUAUUCUGAGGCUGAUGUUCCUGGAUUAAUUUUGGCGGGUAGCUUUGGAGCUUCCUUGUACUUCAUGACAAAAAAGAAUGUUAAGUUAGGUAAUGCCUAUUUUCUUUUUGGAUUAAUUUUGGGAUUGAGUCUAGCCUAACCUAAUUUACAUCAUAAGGAUCAUCCUUUACACCGUUAUGCUGUUAAGGCACACUAUUUUGUCAGCUGGAGGAAUGGAAGAUGAUUAAAAGAAAGGCUAAACUGUAAUUUGAAGGAGAGUUUGCUGUUAACAUCAUGUGUUCUCUCUUGAAAUUGUUUUUCUCAGUUAUAAAACAUAGGGCAGUUUUACUUGGGUGACUGGAGUGUGAUAAUGGAAAAAUAUAAACUUUUGAGGAAAGAAAGUGCCAUUGACAGUAGUUGACUUUGUAUGAUUAUUUAUAGGGGUGAAUCAAGUAAAGGGUUCCAUCGGGAAUAUUUGAAUUAACCUACCAUGGCUCAUACUGAUUGUCUUUGCAGGGAAGGCUACUAUAAUAACCAUAGGUGGGCUUGUUGCUGGUGCAGUGGUGGGUUCAGCAGUUGAGAAUUGGUUGCAGGUAGAUAUUGUUCCUUUUCUGGGUCUGCAUUCUCCUGCUGCCGUAGUGAGCGAAGUUAUACUUUUAUCUCAAUUCUUAGUGUCACUGUAUUUGAGGUAGAGCUAAAAGAAGACAGUGAUAGUAACUCAAUUGUGAAAUCUGUAAUUAUGCAUUUCCAUGAUCAUACCCAAGGCCUUUUUUUUCUCCCCUAUUAGGAUGUGUAUCAUUGCAUAUUGUACAAAAGCAAAUUUUAAGUUAACAGAAUCAUUUGGAAAUAUCUCCCAGAAUAAUAGACAUGUAAAAGCUAGAACAUUCUGUUUUGCUUUUGGUAUGUAAGAUAUCUGCUCUUCUUUAAGAAAA